AAUGGUAAAAAUAAUGAUAAAUAUUGGUAUUAUUUAGUCUCCAAAAAGAAUAGCAUGACCUUUAUCAGAGGUAUGUCUAGUUCUCAGAAAAAGAACCCAGAGCAAGAGAAAAUGACAGAUAUUUAAUAGGGGGCGAAAGUCUUUUUACAUAAAACCUGUCAAAAAAGAAAAUCGUGUUGUAAUUUGGGACUGUAGCCUGCUGUCAGUUAUUUACAGGAGUUUGAAUAGCAUUGGGUUGGGUUGUAUUAUGCCACCUAAAAUCCAAACCAAAUAGGUGUACCCAGUUAAACAGACUUGGGAAGAGAAGUGUGAAGUGUCAGCAGGAUUCUUGAAGUCAUGGUGGAGGGGAAGAGAAGUGGCCUGCAGAUUUCAUCAGCAGUUCUUCCGGUUCCCUCCUUUUUCCUAAAAUAAUCUCUCUGAAUUUAUCACUUCUGUUAGGAACAUACAAUAUGUUUUUGGUACAGAUUCUACUUAAAUAUCAACAAUUUUUCCACUCUGUCAGCUGUUCUAUAAUAUGUGAUUCUGAAAACAAACCAAAAAAAAAUAACAAAUACUGGAACGCUUUCUGCUUUUAAAGUUUGCUCUUAAAUGAUGUGACCCCUUUUAUGAUGGAUGUUGUUAGCUCCAAGGGUGCCAGAUUUAGCAAUCCAUUAUUUAUCCUCUUCUCCUGGGACUCAUCGUUUUUCCUACAUUACCACAUUUCACGUUCACAGCCCUUUUAAUGCUCACACCCUGCACUGUUUUGUGUACAUUCCAUUCAUCCUGCUCAGCCAUUAUGGGUUAUUGCCAUCUGGUGGAAAAACAGGGUUGACUACCAGAUGGUAGUUUUGAAAUUCCGGAAGUGAAAUGAAGUUGUUUUCAUCAGGGAAAAACACAUUUAUGUCUCAUGCAUAUUCUGGUGUUCUAAAACAACGAGCGUUUUUCUGUUCCAUUGCACAUGGGGAAGUAUACAACGAUUUCAGCUGCUGAACACAUUAAAAAAUUGACUUUCUAUAUACACUACACAAAAAUCGUGCUUGUAAAAAAGUUAGGUCCCCUUUUUAUUUCUUUUUUCUUUUCACUCUGUCAACCCAGGCUGGAGUACGGUGGCAAGAUCACAGCUCACUGCAGCCUCAAUCUCCCAGGCUCGAGUGAUCAUCCCACCUCAGCCUCCUGAGUAGUUGAGACUACAGGCUCACGCCAACACAACUGGCUAAUUUUUUUAAAAUUUUUGUAGAGACGGGGUCUCACUACAUUGUCCAGGCUGGUCUCAAACUUCUGGGUUCAAGUGAUCCUCCCUCCUUGUCCUCCCAAAAUGCUGGGAUUAUAGGCGUGAGCCACCGUGCCCAGCUGUCCACCUUUUUAAGUAAUCCUGUGAUCAUAAAACAAAAAUGACAAAACAAAAUAGAGCUAAAAUGUCUCAACUGCUUAUCCCUUCACUAGGAAAAAAUGCAGUAUUAGAUGUUUUCUACUUUUAAGUUCUAU
rnacentral:lncRNA from 1 species